UGGAUUCAGGAAGCCCGGGGUUC
rnacentral:piRNA from 1 species